rnacentral:rRNA from 1 species
AGCGGCGGACGGGUGAGUAAUGCCUGGGAAAUUGCCCUGAUGUGGGGGAUAACCAUUGGAAACGAUGGCUAAUACCGCAUAAUAGCUUCGGCUCAAAGAGGGGGACCUUCGGGCCUCUCGCGUCAGGAUAUGCCCAGGUGGGAUUAGCUAGUUGGUGAGGUAAUGGCUCACCAAGGCGACGAUCCCUAGCUGGUCUGAGAGGAUGAUCAGCCACACUGGAACUGAGACACGGUCCAGACUCCUACGGGAGGCAGCAGUGGGGAAUAUUGCACAAUGGGCGCAAGCCUGAUGCAGCCAUGCCGCGUGUAUGAAGAAGGCCUUCGGGUUGUAAAGUACUUUCAGCAGUGAGGAAGGUGGAUAUGCUAAUAGCAUAUUCAUUUGACGUUAGCUGCAGAAGAAGCACCGGCUAACUCCGUGCCAGCAGCCGCGGUAAUACGGAGGGUGCGAGCGUUAAUCGGAAUUACUGGGCGUAAAGCGCAUGCAGGUGGUUUGUUAAGUCAGAUGUGAAAGCCCGGGGCUCAACCUCGGAAUUGCAUUUGAAACUGGCAAA